UCUCCGUUGGUGAACCAGCGGAGGGAUCAUUACAGGACUCGCAAGACUCCUACAACCCUGUGAACUUAACUAUAAGCACGUUGCUUCGGCGGGUGUCUCGGAGGGGGUUCUCCCUCCCCGAGACGCUAAACCCGCCGGCAGCCUACUAUACUCUGUCUCUUUGCGUUGGCAUCUCGAGUACAAUCAAACAAGUUAAAACUUUCAACAACGGAUCUCUUGGUUCCG
rnacentral:misc_RNA from 1 species